AGUGAACGCUGGCGGUAGGCCUAACACAUGCAAGUCGAACGGCAGCACAGUAAGAGCUUGCUCUUACGGGUGGCGAGUGGCGGACGGGUGAGGAAUACAUCGGAAUCUACUUUUUCGUGGGGGAUAACGUAGGGAAACUUACGCUAAUACCGCAUACGACCUACGGGUGAAAGCAGGGGAUCUUCGGACCUUGCGCGAUUGAAUGAGCCGAUGUCGGAUUAGCUAGUUGGCGGGGUAAAGGCCCACCAAGGCGACGAUCCGUAGCUGGUCUGAGAGGAUGAUCAGCCACACUGGAACUGGGACACGGUCCAGACUCCUACGGGAGGCAGCAGUGGGGAAUAUUGGACAAUGGGCGCAAGCCUGAUCCAGCCAUACCGCGUGGGUGAAGAGGGCCUUCGGGUUGUAAAGCCCUUUUGUUGGGAAAGAAAAGCAGCAGGUUAAUACCCCGCUGUUCUGACGGUACCCAAAGAAUAAGCACCGGCUAACUUCGUG
rnacentral:rRNA from 1 species